AUGCUUAAGUAAAAUACACUCUCUAAGUGGGAGGGCUAGUUAUGUAAAUUAGUGAAUAAAUGGGUUAAUUAAGAAAUAAUUAAAACAAAAACACAAACACUGGUGUGUGUGUGUGUUCGUACGAUCCAGGGGAGGAAGAAAAGGGGAGCCAAACCCUAGCUACUAGAAAUCAAGCAAAUUGAGUCACAAUUUGUGUGAAAUUCCUAUGCAUGAGCCCUAAAAAUCAAGCAUCUAACCUUGGCUAGUAAAGAGGCAUAAAGGAAGAAGGUACAAGCACCAAGAAACCGGAAGGCGCGCAAGAUCGAGGUAAAGCACCUCUUUAGGCGAUUUGGAGAUAUGGGACGAGCACAUGUUCAAGCCUUAUGAUACCAAGCGCUUCCGCAACUUAUAUGCAUGUUUUUGGGUCGUGUUUAUUACUUGUUAAACUUGUUGAAAUGUUUUAGAAUUGAAAACUUGUCGUUUUUGUUGGGAUGGUUUUAUGUUAAAUGGGUCGUAGUGUAAACGUUGUAAGUUAUGUCAAAACAGGGGGUAUGCUCGUUUUACAAACGGGUCAUGCCCAAAUUUUGUAAAAAUUUUCUAUUAAGUGUCAAAAUUGUAUUUCAAUGUCCGAAAGAUCUUGCUUA